AACGAACGCUGGCGGCAGGCCUAACACAUGCAAGUCGAGCGAGGACUUCGGUUCUAGCGGCGGACGGGUGAGUAACGCGUGGGAAUGUGCCCUUCUCUACGGAAUAGCCCUGGGAAACUGGGAGUAAUACCGUAUACGCCCUAUUGGGGAAAGAUUUAUCGGAGAAGGAUCAGCCCGCGUUGGAUUAGGUAGUUGGUGGGGUAAUGGCCUACCAAGCCGACGAUCCAUAGCUGGUUUGAGAGGAUGAUCAGCCACACUGGGACUGAGACACGGCCCAGACUCCUACGGGAGGCAGGAGUGGGGAAUCUUAGACAAUGGGGGCAACCCUGAUAUAGCCAUGCCGCGUGAGUGAUGAAGGCCUUAGGGUUGUAAAGCUCUUUCAGCUGGGAAGAUAAUGACGGUACCAGCAGAAGAAGCACCGGCUAACUCCGUG
rnacentral:rRNA from 1 species